rnacentral:sRNA from 1 species
AUAUCCAUCCAUCUUUACAGCUCUGCAUGCCAUUUGUGAAAAACAAAAGCUACCCAACAACCUGGGAUUAUAAACCAGGCCAAAGUGGUGAGCACCCGGCAGCCAUGGUGUGGCUUCCCACCGGCUCCUCACGCAGCUCCAAGCCAGGCUGUGUUGGGAUGGAAGCUUUGGUCCUGCUCUUAUAAGCCUCCCUGUUCUUAGAGUGACCCCACCCUUCUGUGCCUCGGCAUUGCAGGCCUGGCGCUGGUGCCGAGGAAGCUCUGUGCCCACUACACCUGGGACGUCAGUGUGCUGCUCCAGGCAUGGCCUGCCGUGGACCCGGAGUUCCUGCAGGAGCCUGAGGUCGUCCAGAUGGCAGUUCUGAUCAACAAUAAAGCUUGUGGCAAAAUUCCUGUGCCCCAACAAGUUGCCCGGGACCAGGACAAAGUCCACGAAUUUGUUCUUCAAAGCGAGCUGGGUGUCAGGCUUUUGCAAGGGCGAAGCAUCAAGAAGUCCUUCCUUUCCCCGAGAACUGCCCUCAUCAACUUCCUGGUGCAAGAUUGACAGCCAGGAGGCUGCAGCUACCAC